AGUGAACGCUGGCGGUAGGCCUAACACAUGCAAGUCGAACGGCAGCACAGUAAGAGCUUGCUCUUACGGGUGGCGAGUGGCGGACGGGUGAGGAAUACAUCGGAAUCUACUUUUUCGUGGGGGAUAACGUAGGGAAACUUACGCUAAUACCGCAUACGACCUACGGGUGAAAGCAGGGGAUCUUCGGACCUUGCGCGAUUGAAUGAGCCGAUGUCGGAUUAGCUAGUUGGCGGGGUAAAGGCCCAGCAAGGCGACGAUCCGUAGCUGGUCUGAGAGGAUGGUCGGCCACACUGGAACUGAGACACGGUCCAGACUCCUGCGGGAGGCCGCAGUGGGGAAUAUUGGACAAUGGGCGCAAGCCUGAUCCAGCCAUACCGCGUGGGUGAAGAAGGCCUUCAGGUUGUAAAGCCCUUUUGUUGGGAAAGAAAAGCAGCAGGUUAAUACCCCGCUGUUCUGACGGUACCCAAAGAAUAAGCACCGGCUAACUUCGUG
rnacentral:rRNA from 1 species